rnacentral:rRNA from 1 species
GAUAAACGCUGGCGGUAAGCAUUACACAUGCAAGUCGAGCGGUAACAUGGAAAGCUUGCUUUCUGAUGACGAGCGGCAAACGAGUGAGUAUAACAUAGGAACUCAUUUUAAGUUGAGGAUAGCUAAUUGAAAAAUUAGGUAAUACUGAAUGUGGAAGAAAUUCUAAAGCAGCAAUGCGCUUAAAACGAGGCCUAUGCUCCAUCAGCUAGUUGGUAGGGUAAUAGCCUACCAAGGCGAAGACGGAUAGUUGGUCUGAGAGGAUGAUCAGCCACGCUGGAACUGUGACACGGUCCAGACACCUACGGGUGGCAGCAGUGAGGAAUUUUCGGCAAUGGGCGAAAGCCUGACCGAGCUAUACCGCGUGCAGGACGAAGCCUCGAGGGGUGUAAACUGCUGUGGAGAUCUACUAAUUCUGAAGAGAUCUCUAGAAAGGGGUUGCUAACUCUG